rnacentral:rRNA from 1 species
CAGCAGCCGCGGUAAUACGGAGGUGGCUAGCGUUGUUCGGAAUUACUGGGCGUAAAGCGCACGUAGGCGGCUUGGUAAGUUAGAGGUGAAAGCCUGGAGCUCAACUCCAGAAUUGCCUUUAAGACUGCCGAGCUAGCAGGUGAGAGAGGUAAGUGGAAUUCCGAGUGUAGAGGUGAAAUUCGUAGAUAUUCGGAAGAACACCAGUGGCGAAGGCGGCUUACUGGCUCAUACUGGACGCUGAGGUGCGAAAGCGUGGGGAGCAAACAGGAUUAGAUACCCCUGUAGUCCCUGUCUCUUAUAC